rnacentral:rRNA from 1 species
UACAGAGGUCUCAAGCGUUGUUCGGAAUUACUGGGCGUAAAGGGCUCGUAGGCGGCCAACUAAGUCGGACGUGAAAUCCCCAGGCUCAACCUGGGAACUGCGUCUGAUACUGGAUGGCUUGAAUCCGGGAGAGGGAUGCAGAAUUCCAGGUGUAGCGGUGAAAUGCGUAGAUAUCUGGAGGAAUACCGGUGGCGAAGGCGGCAUCCUGGACCGGCAUUGACGCUGAGGAGCGAAAGCCAGGGGAGCAAACGGG